AUUGAACGCUGGCGGCAGGCUUAACACAUGCAAGUCGAACGAGUGGCGGACGGGUGAGUAAUGCUUGGGAAACUGGCUGAUGGAGGGGGAUAACUACGGGAAACUGUAGCUAAUACCGCGUACCAUAGGAUGAGCCCAAGUGGGAUUAGGUAGUUGGUGAGGUAAAGGCUCACCAGGCCGACGAUCCCUAGCUGGUCUGAGAGGAUGACCCGCCCAACUGGGACUGAGACCCGGGCCAGACUCCUACGGGAGGCAGCAGUGGGGAAUAUUGCGCAAUGGGGGCAACCUGACGCAGCCAUGCCGCGUGUAUGAAGAAGGCCUUCGGGUUGUAAAGUUCUUUCGGUAGCGAGGCGUUACCUACAGAAGAAGCACCGGCUAACUCCGUGCCAGCAGCCGCGGUAAUUC
rnacentral:rRNA from 1 species